rnacentral:rRNA from 1 species
ACAUGCCUACAUCAUAGCAUUAAUGCACUGGAUCCCAUUAGAACUCCGCAAUUAAGAAUGCUUGGGCUAGAGUAGUAUUGGGAUGGGUGACCGCUCGGGAAGUCCUAGUGUUUUACAUGCC